AUGGCGGUGAGGUACGCCAACCUCGGUGAGACGCUGGGUGAUGCGGCGCUCGUCAAGAAGCUGCUGGGUACGGUGCCGGAUCGGCUCUUCCCCGUCGUCGCCGGUAUCGAGCAGUUCCACGACGUGACGACGAUGGCGUUCGAUGAAGAGCUCGGGCGGCUACGCGCAUUCGACGAGCGAGUUCGGCGUCGACGGCAGGACAGCGGCGAGCGGGCAGACGGACAGCUUCUGUUCACGGUGGCACAGUGGCAGGCGCGGGAGCGGCAGCACGGCGGAGCACAGGAUGAUGACGACAGGCACAUCAUGGCGUCUAAGGAGCGGCGGCAACAGGCGCAGGCGCUGCUACAAGUGCGGGGAGCAUGGGCACUUCUGGCGCGAGUGCCCGCAGCUGCGGAAAGGACCGGCGGCGAAGCAGGCUCUCUUGGCCGGCGCCAUAGUCGACAAUGA
rnacentral:rRNA from 1 species